rnacentral:rRNA from 1 species
GACGAACGCUGGCGGCGUGCUUAACACAUGCAAGUCGAACGGAAAGGCCCUGCUUUUGUGGGGUGCUCGAGUGGCGAACGGGUGAGUAACACGUGAGUAACCUGCCCUUGACUUUGGGAUAACUUCAGGAAACUGGGGCUAAUACCGGAUAGGAGCUCCUGCUGCAUGGUGGGGGUUGGAAAGUUUCGGCGGUUGGGGAUGGACUCGCGGCUUAUCAGCUUGUUGGUGGGGUAGUGGCUUACCAAGGCUUUGACGGGUAGCCGGCCUGAGAGGGUGACCGGCCAAAUUGGGACUGAGAUGCGGCCCAGUAUCGUACGGGAUGCAGCAGUGGGGAAUAUUGCAGAAUGGGCGGAAGCCUGAUUCAGAGACGCUGCGUGCGGGAUGACGGCCUUCGGGUUGUAAGCCGCUUUCGCCUGUGACGAAGCGUGAGUGACGGUAAUGGGUAAAGAAGCACCGGCUAACUACGUG